UACGUAGGGGGCUAGCGUUGUCCGGAUUUAUUGGGCGUAAAGAGCGUGUAGGCGGCCAGGUAGGUCUGGUGUGAAAACUCGAGGCUUAACCUCGAGAUGUCAUCGGAAACCAUCUGGCUAGAGUCCGGAAGAGGAGAGUGGAAUUCCUGGUGGAGCGGUGAAAUGCGUUGAUAUCAGAAGGAACGCCGGUGGCGAAAGCGCUCGACUGGACCUUUUCUGACGCUGAGGCGCGAAAAGCCUAGGGGAGCAAACGGG
rnacentral:rRNA from 1 species